AGCUCAGCGAAGAGCUUUCCCACAUCUACCAAGGCCCCAGUCCCGGGGCCAGGAGCUUGGAAGGGGGGUGGCGCCUGCACGUCUCUAAGCAGAAUCCAAUCUCGUUGGACAAAUACAGGAAACAGCGAUGAAACCCUGUGACCAGCGCUGGUCUGAAGUCCUCAGAGGGGAGCCGGAGGAGCUCCGGGAAGGACAGCAAGGGUGGGCUGCAGUUCUCAGGCACACCUGGGGUGGCAAGAAGGGGGGCCCAGCUAGGUCUACCUAGGACAUCAGUGUUCCACCCACCAUCAAGAGCUGUUCUUGAAGGGCAGGCGAGGCAGGAGAGCCCGAGGAAGACAGCAAAGCCCUCGUGAGCCGGUUUGUUCUUCCUACUUUUAAGUUCCCCUGCCCCCUUCUCUCAGAAGCCUCUGUGACCCAGGGGGGCCGAGGGCUGGUGGCAGGUGCUCCCAGCCCACCCGCACCGGUGCUUUUCAAAGCGCCCCCCGGGUGGAGAGGCCGUUCCUGGGGAAGAGGUGUGACCCCCCUCUUGCAGGCAUGUGAUGAAUAUUUCAUAGCCCAGAUGUAAUCCUGUCCACAAUUUUCUCUCCUUCCGGCUCGCCAGCACCCCUCUCUUCACGGUCCUCCACCUCCACCCCGCCCCAGUCCCCAACUGUUCCCAAGUCAGGAAAAUCAGUCAAAACAUUUAUCAGGAAUCGGUAUGAACCAGCCAAGCGCUGUGAAGAGCUAAUCUGUGCAGAGCUAAUAAGAAUGAACAAAGUCACCACAGACUUCGCCAUGGGCAUCGCUGAUAAGGAUUUGUCAGAAGAAUUGCAGGCGGUGUUGAAAUUCGGUGGAGAAACUGAGAUCCCAGACAACUGGCAGCUGCUGAAGACUGCAAGAGGGUUUUGAAAUCGCUCACCUGGAAACCUGUGCUAGAGCGCGGCAGCCAGAUCCAGGGCUGCAGAGUCGCACGGGCACACGGCCGUGAAUCCCAGUUCUGAUGGCUUCUAGCUGGUGAGACCUUGAGAAAGUUGCUGAAAUUCCCUGAGCCUCAGUUUUCUCAUCUGCGCAACUAGUAUGACAUACCUCAUCGGGCUGUUUGUGAGCGGG
rnacentral:lncRNA from 12 species